rnacentral:rRNA from 1 species
GACAGAGGUGCCAAGCGUUAGGCGGAAUCACUGGGCUUAAAGCGUGUGUAGGUGGAAGCGUAAGUACCUUGUGAAAUCCCACGGCUUAAUCGUGGAACUGCUUGGUAUACUGCGUUUCUUGAGCCAACUAGGGGCUAUCGGAACAAGUGGUGGAGCGGUGAAAUGCGUAGAUAUCACUUGGAACGCCAAUGGUGAAAACAGAUAGCUGGGGUUGUGCUGACACUGAGACACGAAAGCCAGGGGAGCAAACGGG